rnacentral:rRNA from 1 species
CAGCGCCGCGGUAAUACGAAGGGGGCUAGCGUUGUUCGGAAUUACUGGGCGUAAAGGGCGCGUAGGCGGCCAUUCAAGUUAGAUGUGAAAGCCCUGGGCUCAACCUAGGAAUUGCAUUUGAUACUGUUUGGCUUGAGUUCGGGAGAGGUGAGUGGAAUUCCCAGUGUAGAGGUGAAAUUCGUAGAUAUUGGGAAGAACACCAGUGGCGAAGGCGACUCACUGGACCGACACUGACGCUGAGGCGCGAAAGCGUGGGGAGCAAACAGGAUUAGAUACCCGAGUAGUCCCUGUCUCUUAUACA